rnacentral:sRNA from 1 species
UUGACAGCCCUGGAAACCGUAACCAUUAAACAGGUACAUCAAGAGCAGCAGCAGUGCAAGCUGCUCCUGCUGCCCCAUCAAUCUGUCUUGACCUUUAUCUGGAAGAACCCCCUACUGUGCAUAGAAGUAAGGUUACUGCCUGGCUGUUUUUUUUGCUUUU